GACGAACGCUGGCGGCGUGCUUAACACAUGCAAGUCGAACGGAAAGGCCCUGCUUUUGUGGGGUGCUCGAGUGGCGAACGGGUGAGUAACACGUGAGUAACCUGCCCUUGACUUUGGGAUAACUUCAGGAAACUGGGGCUAAUACCGGAUAGGAGCUCCUGCUGCAUGGUGGGGGUUGGAAAGUUUCGGCGGUUGGGGAUGGACUCGCGGCUUAUCAGCUUGUCGGUGGGGUAGUGGCUUACCAAGGCUUUGACGGGUAGCCGGCCUGAGAGGGUGACCGGCCACAUUGGGACUGAGAUACGGCCCAGACUCCUACGGGAGGCAGCAGUGGGGAAUAUUGCGCAAUGGGCGGAAGCCUGAUGCAGCAACGCCGCGUGCGGGAUGACGGCCUUCGGGUUGUAAACCGCUUUCGCCUGUGACGAAGCGUGAGUGACGGUAAUGGGUAAAGAAGCACCGGCUAACUACGUG
rnacentral:rRNA from 1 species